rnacentral:tRNA from 1 species
CCGGAAGGUGCGGCUGGAUCACCUCCUUUCUAGGGAGAUCCGAGUCCCGACUCUUCGGUGGGGUCGGGGCGUUGAAGGCUCCCAGGUUGAUCGCGCGGUCAUCAGUCGCCCCCGUCAGGUGGGCGACAACGCGUCGACCGUGACCGGUCGGCACGGCCCCGGCGGGCGUUUAGCUCAGCUGGUUAGAGCACUGCCCUGAUAAGGCAGAGGUCUCUGGUUCGAGUCCAGAAACGCCCACCAUCACUCUCGCGAGGCAAGGGGACGUAGCUCAGUUGGUAGAGCAUCUCCUUUGCAAGGAGGAGGUCAGGAGUUCGAGUCUCCUCGUCUCCACCACCUUCUCGGGAUCACAGCGGAGGUUCUGACCUGCGCAAGGCCGCACCACAACUGAACUGAAGAGACCGGGUGGACCCCGGGACGACCGAACCCCCAGGCGCUGUCCCAAGACGGCUCCGAGGCUGGUCCUCGAGCCGUCUUCGUGUGUCCGCCGCCAACGGCCCCCUGAUCCGUGAUCUCCCAGGAGCUCACCGACCAGCGGAUCGCUGGAGAACCGGAACCGGCGCGAGCCGGCCCGGGGACCGGGGCCCGAGCAAUCGGGCCGCACCUUAACAACUGGAUACGUUCGGCAGUAAAUCGAUCUUCGAUUUCGCCGAGUUAGUCAAGGAUACGAUCCCGAUCGAUCCCGUCCGCACCUGGCCGCCUGGUCAGAUGCUGGAAGGGGUCAAGCUACAAAGGGCACGG